UGUAUCAAUAUCUAAAUCAUCAGUUGUCUAUCCCAGAUAAACAGACAUAGACCACUGUUACUAAUGGAUCGUUUAGAUUUGGUACAAUAUUGUUUAGACUAAAUAAAAGAUCGUUUAUGUUGGGAUUUAUGUCCUAAAACUCGUAGAUUGUAAAUAUAAUCCAUUAAUCGUUGUUAAUAACAUGUUAUUAUUGUAAUAAUUGUUAUUGGUUAUAAUAUUAGUUGUCUUAAUAACUCAAAUCAAACAAACUAACAUCCUAAGUUGUUUAAUGAAUCUUAAACAGUAUGUAGAGACAUACAGGGAUAAAGGUUCAAGAUCAGCUUAAAGGUUCUAUAGUACAAGGAUAAGGCUGAAUACCUAAUCCUGGUAACACUAUGAAUAUGGCUCACUUUGUAUUUGAUACAAACACAAUGAUUCAACGCGUUUGUGUAGUUGACAUACGAGUGACGGUAUCUUAUGCAAUAAGUUUACAUAAGAUCAGACGGCAAA
rnacentral:lncRNA from 1 species